rnacentral:rRNA from 1 species
GGUUAAGUUAGAAAGGGCGCACGGUGAAUGCCUUGGCACUAGGAGCCGAUGAAGGACGGGACUAACACCGAUAUGCUUCGGGGAGCUGUAAGUGAGCUUUGAUCCGGAGAUUUCCGAAUGGGGAAACCCACUGUUCGUAAUGGAACAGUAUCUUUAUCUGAAUACAUAGGAUAUUGAAGGCAGACCCGGGGAACUGAAACAUCUAAGUACCCGGAGGAAGAGAAAGCAAAUGCGAUUUCCUGAGUAGCGGCGAGCGAAACGGAAUUAGCCCAAACCAAGAGGCUUGCCUCUUGGGGUUGUAGGACACUCUAUACGGAGUUACAAAGGAACGAAGUAAAUGAAGCGACCUGGAAAGGUCCGUCGAAGAAGGUAACAACCCUGUAGUUGAAACUUCGUUCCCUCUUGAGUGGAUCCUGAGUACGGCGGAACACGUGAAAUUCCGUCGGAAGCUGGGAGGACCAUCUCCCAAGGCUAAAUACUACCUAGUGACCGAUAGUGAACCAGUACCGUGAGGGAAAGGUGAAAAGCACCCCGGAAGGGGAGUGAAAGAGAUCCUGAAACCGUGUGCCUACAAGUAGUCAGAGCCCGUUAACGGGUGAUGGCGUGCCUUUUGUAGAAUGAACCGGCGAGUUACGAUCCCAUGCAAGGUUAAGCUGAUAAGGCGGAGCCGUAGCGAAAGCGAGUCUGAAUAGGGCGUUUAGUAUGUGGUUGUAGACCCGAAACCAGGUGAUCUACCCAUGUCCAGGGUGAAGUUCAGGUAACACUGAAUGGAGGCCCGAACCCACGCACGUUGAAAAGUGCGGGGAUGAGGUGUGGGUAGCGGAGAAAUUCCAAUCGAACCUGGAGAUAGCUGGUUCUCUCCGAAAUAGCUUUAGGGCUAGCCUCAUGUUGUGAGAGUCUUGGAGGUAGAGCACUGAUUGGACUAGGGGCCCCCAACGGGUUACCGAAUUCAGUCAAACUCCGAAUGCCAAAGACUUAUCCAUGGGAGUCAGACUGCGAGUGAUAAGAUCCGUAGUCAAAAGGGAAACAGCCCAGACCACCAGCUAAGGUCCCCAAGUAUACGUUAAGUGGAAAAGGAUGUGGAGUUGCUUAGACAACCAGGAUGUUGGCUUAGAAGCAGCCACCAUUUAAAGAGUGCGUAAUAGCUCACUGGUCGAGUGACUCUGCGCCGAAAAUGUACCGGGGCUAAACGUAUCACCGAAGCUGUGGAUUGACAUCUU